GUCUCGUGGCUCAACUGGUCGAGUAUGAGACUUUUAAUCUCAGGGUUGUGAGUUCAAGCCUCACUAUGGGCA